rnacentral:rRNA from 1 species
GACGAACGCUGGCGGCGUGCUUAACACAUGCAAGUCGAACGGAAAGGCCCUGCUUUUGUGGGGUGCUCGAGUGGCGAACGGGUGAGUAACACGUGAGUAACCUGCCCUUGACUUUGGGAUAACUUCAGGAAACUGGGGCUAAUACCGGAUAGGAGCUCCUGCUGCAUGGGGGGGGUUGGAAAGUUUCGGCGGUUGGGGAUGGACUCGCGGCUUACCAGCUUGUUGGUGGGGUAGUGGCUUACCAAGCCUUUGACGGGUAGCCGGCCUGAGAGGGUGACCGGCCACCUUGGGACUGAGGUACGGCCCAGACUCCUACGGUAGGCAGCAGUGGGGAAUAUUGCACAAUGGGCGGAAGCCUGAUGCAGCAACGCCGCGUGCGGGAUGAAGGCCUUCGGGUUGUAAACCGCUUUCGCCUGUGACGAAGCGUGAGUGACGGUAAUGGGUAAAGAAGCACCGGCUAACUACGUG